rnacentral:rRNA from 1 species
AUUGAACGCUGGCGGCAGGCUUAACACAUGCAAGUCGAGCGGGGAAAGGUAGCUUGCUACCUGACCUAGCGGCGGACGGGUGAGUAAUGCUUAGGAAUCUGCCUAUUAGUGGGGGACGACAUCUCGAAAGGGAUGCUAAUACCGCAUACGUCCUACGGGAGAAAGCAGGGGACCUUCGGGCCUUGCGCUAAUAGAUGAGCCUAAGUCGGAUUAGCUAGUUGGUGGGGUAAAGGCCUACCAAGGCGACGAUCUGUAGCGGGUCUGAGAGGAUGAUCCGCCACACUGGGACUGAGACACGGCCCAGACUCCUACGGGAGGCAGCAGUGGGGAAUAUUGGACAAUGGGGGGAACCCUGAUCCAGCCAUGCCGCGUGUGUGAAGAAGGCCUUUUGGUUGUAAAGCACUUUAAGCGAGGAGGAGGCUACCGAGAUUAAUACUCUUGGAUAGUGGACGUUACUCGCAGAAUAAGCACCGGCUAACUCUGUGCCAGCAGCCGCGGUAAAAC